GGGACACGUGGUAUCCUGUCUGAAUAUGGGGGGACCAUCCUCCAAGGCUAAAUACUCCUGACUGACCGAUAGUGAACCAGUACCGUGAGGGAAAGGCGAAAAGAACCCCGGCGAGGGGAGUGAAAAAGAACCUGAAACCGUGUACGUACAAGCAGUGGGAGCACCUUCGGGUGUGACUGCGUACCUUUUGUAUAAUGGGUCAGCGACUUAUAUUCUGUAGCAAGGUUAACCGUAUAGGGGAGCCGCAGGGAAACCGAGUCUUAACUGGGCGUUAAGUUGCAGGGUAUAGACCCGAAACCCGGUGAUCUAGCCAUGGGCAGGUUGAAGGUUGGGUAACACUAACUGGAGGACCGAACCGACUAAUGUUGAAAAAUUAGCGGAUGACUUGUGGCUGGGGGUGAAAGGCCAAUCAAACCGGGAGAUAGCUGGUUCUCCCCGAAAGCUAUUUAGGUAGCGCCUCGUGAACUCAUCUUCGGGGGUAGAGCACUGUUUCGGCUAGGGGGUCAUCCCGACUUACCAACCCGAUGCAAACUACGAAUACCGAAGAAUGUUAUCACGGGAGACACACGGCGGGUGCUAACGUCCGUCGUGAAGAGGGAAACAACCCAGACCGCCAGCUAAGGUCCCAAAGUCAUGGUUAAGUGGGAAACGAUGUGGGAAGGCACAGACAGCCAGGAUGUUGGCUUAGAAGCAGCCAUCAUUUAAAGAAAGCGUAAUAGCUCACUGGUCGAGUCGGCCUGCGCGGAAGAUGUAACGGGGCUAAACCAUGCACCGAAGCUGCGGCAGCGACACUAUGUGUUGUUGGGUAGGGGAGCGUUCUGUAAGCCUGCGAAGGUGACCUGUGAGGGUUGCUGGAGGUAUCAGAAGUGCGAAUGCUGACAUAAGUAACGAUAAAGCGGGUGAAAAGCCCGCUCGCCGGAAGACCAAGGGUUCCUGUCCAACGUUAAUCGGGGCAGGGUGAGUCGACCCCUAAGGCGAGGCCGAAAGGCGUAGUCGAUGGGAAACAGGUUAAUAUUCCUGUACUUGGUGUUACUGCGAAGGGGGGACGGAGAAGGCUAUGUUAGCCGGGCGACGGUUGUCCCGGUUUAAGCAUGUAGGCUGGUUGUCCAGGCAAAUCCGGAUAAUCAAGGCUGAGGUGUGAUGACGAGGCACUACGGUGCUGAAGUAACAAAUGCCCUGCUUCCAGGAAAAGCCUCUAAGCAUCAGGUAACAUUAAAUCGUACCCCAAACCGACACAGGUGGUCAGGUAGAGAAUACCAAGGCGCUUGAGAGAACUCGGGUGAAGGAACUAGGCAAAAUGGUGCCGUAACUUCGGGAGAAGGCACGCUGGUGUGUAGGUGAAGCCCCUGCGGGUGGAGCUGAGACCAGUCGAAGAUACCAGCUGGCUGCAACUGUUUAUUAAAAACACAGCACUGUGCAAACACGAAAGUGGACGUAUACGGUGUGACGCCUGCCCGGUGCCGGAAGGUUAAUUGAUGGGGUUAUCCGUAAGGAGAAGCUCUUGAUCGAAGCCCCGGUAAACGGCGGCCGUAACUAUAACGGUCCUAAGGUAGCGAAAUUCCUUGUCGGGUAAGUUCCGACCUGCACGAAUGGCGUAAUGAUGGCCAGGCUGUCUCCACCCGAGACUCAGUGAAAUUGAACUCGCUGUGAAGAUGCAGUGUACCCGCGGCAAGACGGAAAGACCCCGUGAACCUUUACUAUAGCUUGACACUGAACAUUGAGCCUUGAUGUGUAGGAUAGGUGGGAGGCUUUGAAGCGUGGACGCCAGUCUGCGUGGAGCCAACCUUGAAAUACCACCCUUUAAUGUUUGAUGUUCUAACGUUGGCCCCUUACCGGGGUUGCGGACAGUGUCUGGUGGGUAGUUUGACUGGGGCGGUCUCCUCCCAAAGCGUAACGGAGGAGCACGAAGGUUAGCUAAUCCUGGUCGGACAUCAGGAGGUUAGUGCAAUGGCAUAAGCUAGCUUGACUGCGAGCGUGACGGCGCGAGCAGGUGCGAAAGCAGGUCAUAGUGAUCCGGUGGUUCUGAAUGGAAGGGCCAUCGCUCAACGGAUAAAAGGUACUCCGGGGAUAACAGGCUGAUACCGCCCAAGAGUUCAUAUCGACGGCGGUGUUUGGCACCUCGAUGUCGGCUCAUCACAUCCUGGGGCUGAAGUAGGUCCCAAGGGUAUGGCUGUUCGCCAUUUAAAGUGGUACGCGAGCUGGGUUUAGAACGUCGUGAGACAGUUCGGUCCCUAUCUGCCGUGGGCGCUGGAGAAUUGAGGGGGGCUGCUCCUAGUACGAGAGGACCGGAGUGGACGCAUCACUGGUGUUCGGGUUGUCAUGCCAAUGGCACUGCCCGGUAGCUAAAUGCGGAAGAGAUAAGUGCUGAAAGCAUCUAAGCACGAAACUUGCCCCG
rnacentral:rRNA from 1 species